AGAGUGAACAUUUGUACCAAGCUUCUAUCAACUCACUCUGUCUAGUACAACAUUUUACUAGACAGAGUGAGUUGAUAGAAGCUUGGUACAAAUGUUGAAGC
rnacentral:pre_miRNA from 1 species